GGUCUUCUUUGUCUGUGAUCUGUGUCUUUUUUUAAAUUAAAUUUGAUUAUAUUAUAUUAUGUACUUAAAUUUGUGCCAAAAAAAUUUUUUCUCCAUUUUUUAAGUAUUAUAAUAUUAUUAUGCAUGAGGGUGAGGGAGAGGUAUUAAACUAAGCUUUAAAUUAAUAGACAAAAGGCAUUGCCCACUUGGAAAGUAGUUAUUUAGGUGAUAACUCUUAUAUUAUAUCAGUAAGUUGACCUGAUCUUUCGGUAAAUGGAAAUUCUUCCAACUAUUGUUGGGAAAUUUUACAAUUAUCAAAUUUUUGUGUGAUAUUUUCAGUAUUCAAAAUCCUCCACAUAUUCAAAAAAUAACCAUUCAUGAUUAUUGUUUCUUUUUUAUCUAAAUAGACUUGAAUCACUUACGAGCACCUAUUAGGUUUAGAUAAAGUUCUUGAAAUCCUCAAAGGCUUAAAUUUUUCUUUCAGUCUUACCCCUGAACAAACACUUGGGUAUGUCGGAUCUACUUUUACUCACUUUAAAUAGCAAAGAAGACUUCUUGUUUGUCUUGGUAUUGUCAAUACCAACACACAGUAUACCACCAAAGAAUAUGUAAAUCUAAGAAAUUGAGUAACAUUAAAAUAUAGCUUCAACACUAUUCUCCAAAGAUUUUUGAAGCCUCAUACAUUUACCACUGGGAGGCUCUUUUGCAUGUGAUGCCGGCUAGAUUAUGGAUACCACAACAACAUCUAUUUCUGCCGUGAAGCAGUAAUGUGGAAGCAUUACUGUGUUUCAGUCUGAAGGGCGCCAUAGCUAGUGAAAGUAAUUACUGGGCAAAUGAGACUUCACAACUUAUGUCUCAAGGUGACGAGUGUUGUUGUACUGCCGCCCAGAAUUUUUGGGUUUUUCAAUAAUCCUGUGUGGCACUGCAUUGUAAUGGGUAGGGUGUAUCAACCAACAGCUGAAUGUCCUGCUCGGCUCAUCCCCUAAUGCCAUAACAAAAAAUACCAUUAAAUCAUCGUCGUACUGUCAAACAAUAUGUUCAUACGAAAGUGUUGUUUCUAUUGAGCAAUAUUUAAAUUGUGUAAUGACGUUAAUCGACCUCAGCUGAGGUGAAGGAGCAAUGUGCGCGAAACUUGUUUGAAUCGUGGAAAAAAUACGUGAAGCCUGUUAAAAAACUGGUCCUCCUUCUUAUGUCUACAUAAUUCGAUUGGGAUUAUUAACAUCACUGGAGAUUGGUUGUAGAUUACAAUAACUUUUAUAUACAAUGCGAGUCUAAAAUUAAAAUCAACGUUCUCAAGAUUUACUUUCUACAUUAUUACGAAAAUUUCAUAUACAAAUAAAAUUUGAAAACGAAAUUUAUGAACGAUGCGGGACUCCAACCCGCGACCUCUCGCUUUCCAUGCGAGCGCUCUUUCCAACUGAGCCAACCGUUCGUGUGACGUAAAGUUCAUAAAUCUUGUAUGCUUCAACUCUCAGGUUGUGGCUUCAUCUACAGGAUCUACUUAACAUAACCUUCUCAACCCCAAUAUUAGGAAAUUGACAUGAGACGUGUUUUGCGAGCUCAGUGAAAUAUUCAAAUUUUAUUUGUAUAAUUAGAAGAAGUGAGGGUUAUCACUUUAAAAAACAUAACAAAUUGUUUAGAUUCACAUACCUACAUAUUAUUUGUAUUUAUCAAAAGAAGCGUGGAAUAUUAGACCAUGAUAAUAUGUAAACCGAACGAUGAUAAAAACCAAUGAAUUAAGAAUGCGUACGGCGAAAAGGCACGGUCAGUUUGAUCAUGGCACUGCGAUCCAUUGCCGAGCUUAAUUUGAAGCAAAUAAUUACUAUGAUACUCAAAGAAGCGCUUGCAAGAGAUUGUGACACAGGAACCUUGCAUUAGGUUAACAUUAUUAUUUACAGUCAGUACACGUUUACACGGUGAAUUAGUGCGCUUGAUUUUUUUUAACUAUCAAUCAGGGACGAGCAGGCGCGUUCAGCUGAUGGUAAUUGAUGUGCCCUGCCCAUUGCAAUGUAAUGCCGCUCAGGAUUCUUGAAAAACCCAAAGAUUCUGAGCGCCACUACAAUUGCGCUCGUUACCUUGAGACAUAAGAUGUUUAGUCUCAUCAGACCUUCAGACCGAAACACAUUACUGUUCAUGGCAGAAAUAGGCGCCGUUUUGGCACCCAUCAUCUAGCUGGCAUCCUGUGCAAAGGAGCCUCCCAGUCAAUAUAAAAAUAUUUUGUCUAUCUAUUAUCUAUUGUCUACCGCUCAGAUCUCAUGUCCUGUUACCUGUCCGCUUUAGUAGAAGCUUCUACGACUUGAUCGACCCGGUAUGCCUUGUGAUUUCACAUCUGAAAAUUUGCUGAUGGCGUCUGUAGACUUCUUGUACUAUUUAUCAUCAAAAUGUAUGACACAAAUAAAUUCCGCGCGAGCGCCUCGCAGACGAAGCCACAACCUGAGAGUUGAACAAAGCAUGCAAGACUUUAUCAACGAUACGUCACUCGAACGGUUGGCUCAGUUGGUCGCACGGAACUCGAGAGGUCGCGGUUUCGAGUCCCGCAUUGUUCAUAAAAUAUUGUGUUCAAUUUUUAUUUGUGUAAUAAAUUUAAGUCCAGAAGUGAGGGUAAUCACUUUAAAACAUAAGAAAUUGUUUAAAUCAUCAAAAUCAAAGCGAGUACUUCAUUUAGCCCGCUAAAAGUCCAGCGAUCCUCACGUAAUUAAUCUGAUGGUAUAGUCCAUUGAGUUUAAUAAUCCUCGUACUAAAAAAUUUAAAAGUUAUCGUAUGUAUUUACACUCCGUACGACUUGUAGUAAUAAGUGUUUCGCAUUACGCAGCUGAUAACCACAAUUGGACACACUAAAUAUAAAUCAAUGUUCAGUGUUAUUUUAAUUUUGAUAAAGAAGUAUAUCGCUACUGCGUUUUGGUGCUCUUGUCUGAUCUAAUUGGAUUAAAUAUUCGAGUUUUGAUCGUUUUCGUUGGGUUAUUAUGAUAUUGUUUAGUUACACUUUUAUUCGCGCAGGAGUUGAAAUUUUGUGUUUUAGACCAGUGCUGGCUUUUGAAAAUGAUAAAAAGUGAAAAAAAUUAUAGGAUGAAACCUCUUGGAAAAGGAAGAGAAAAUAACAAAAACGAAAGGAAAAAUAAAUUACGGGCGAUCUGAGGUGGGGAAAUUCUCCAUAGGACUUGUAGUUUUGCCGGAAAUCGAGAUAAGCCUUAAAGGCCGGCAACGCUCCUGUGAUUCCUCUGGUGUUGCAAGAGAUUGUGGGCGGUGGUGAUCACUUAACACCAGGUGACCCGCACGCUCGUUUGGUCUUCUAUUCCAUAAAAAAAGCCGUUUUUACCCUUCAACACCCCCCUUUUCCACUUCCCGAACUCAGAUCGUCCGUAAUUUAUUUUUCCUUUCAUUUUUGUUAUAUUCUCUUCCAUUUCCAAUGGGUUUCAUCCUACUAUUUUUUUGGUUUCAUAGCGACAUGUACCUCACAAGCUAGAACCGAUUGACUGUUGCGUCCGUACCUAACACUGCAUAAAUUGUACUGCGCCACUACGGCUGCGUUCGUAUCUGUGGGAGUUUGACGGUAGAAAUGUAUUUGUUCACCAUGUUUUUGGCCUUAACUUCUAUGCACGGAACCCUACUUCAUUUCUUACAACUUACUGCUUAUAAAAUGACCUAUCUUUGCAAUGGUACAAAUCAACUAUUAUUGAUUGCAACUCUCGAGUGAGCUUGUACGCGAAGCUAGCUAGAUAGAUUUAGAAAAAAAAGCAGUUAUUUUGACGAAUGCUCCAAUUCUGGUUGCAAACUGCAAAAAUAUUUAUUAGAAUAUUAAUUCGAAGGAUUGGUGUGUUUUUAUAUACAUUUCUAGUGUAAUCGAUUUUUAUAUUAUCUCCUUUUAUUCGGCUUGAUUGAAUUUAAAAGCGCUGUUCCUAAGCUGAAGAAAUUCUUGUGUUGACCUUUUUUUUUUUUACUUUACGUACGUAUUAUAAUGACGCACUCCUCCCAGAGCUGCAAUUAAUCAUUUUGGAUGUACGUCGGUACUAAUAUACUUGCCCGGCUUUUUCUGAUGCCUACUGAUACAGCAACCUGUUCAUCCUAUCUCUUAUUCUUGGGACUCUUAUCACGUCCUUUUUAAGUACAUCUCCAAUCUGAUGAAUGAAGGAAUGUACGCCGAGUUCGACUUAUCUCACUACUCAUCCCCACAUUCAAUCCAUAAUUUUAUAAUAUCUAAUUUUUAAAUUCAAACUGGUCUAAUAACAUAUUAAUGAAAAAAAAAUCUAUCCAUCUAAAAUAUUUUACAGUCAAAGUUAAAUAAAAGACGUAAUAGAAUAGGAGUACUAAAACCCUGACAGAUAAAAAUAAUUUUAUCAGUUAUCUGUACAGUUUAUCUGUUUGUUUCGCAUCUGUUUUAUCACACUCUGAACUGGAGUUGGAGAUUCAACUGUAUCAGGUCGCGUGCGUCGACUAUCUCAUAACUUCUGACCACAACAUAUUGCAACAGGUUGCUUAGGCCUAAGAGUAUAAUAUUAUUACCUAGCGGAGUAGGCAUUGUAGGACAGAAUAGGUACUCUCUCUGGUGGACUUACUUUUAUUUAUCUAUAAUAAUAAUAAUAAUAUAUAAUAAUAAUAUUGACACACUUUUACGCAUAUUAUCUUGCCCCAAACUAGGCAUAGCCUGUACUGAGUUUCUUGCGCCCAUUCUUCUCAGGUCUGGGGCAGUCUCUUUUGAAUGGGUGGUAGAUUAUGACGUUCAAUAAGUGAUUAUAACUCCUAUUUUGAAUAAAAAAAAAUGAAUUUGAACUAUGGCUACAAAGACUGAUAUAUUUAAUACGAUAUACUUACUUAAGAAGGAAACUAACUUAAAAAACUUUACUAGGAAACUACAGGCCGAUCAGUUUAAUGUCCAAUAUUUAUAAAGUAUUUUCAAAAAUCAUAUUAAAUAGAAUUACCAACACACUAGAGGAAAACCAAUCUAAGGAACAAGCUGGUUUCCGAAGCAAAUUUUCAACUAUUGACCAUAUCAAGACAAAUUAUACAGAAGUAUAAAGAAUAUAAUAAAAUGUAUUAUAUUGGGUUCGUUGACUUCAACAAAGCGUUUGAUACAUUGGAACAUGAGUAUAUAAGUGACGCUCUAAAAAAACAACGGGUCGAAACAAAAUACAUACGAAUAAUUAAAAACGUAUACACAUACUGGAGAUGAUCUUCAGGAAUUUAAACUGGACCAAAAAUGGGCUCAAUAUAAAUGGAGAAAACCUCAACCAUCUACGUUUUGCCGAUGAUUUGAUUUUGUUCUCAGAGGACGCAGGAACCCUGGGACUAAUGUUGCAGCAGCUAUCCGAUGAAAGCGUUAAGGCCGGUCUGACAAUGCAUAAAACCAAAAUUAUGAGUAAUUCCCAACAAGCAGUAAACAAUGAACAAAUAACAGUAAAUAACGAACAACUAGAAUAUGUAAACGAAUAUAUAUAUUUGGGCCAACUUAUAUCUACAGAUAAUUGCAUGAAUAAAGAAAUAGAAAGAAGAAUAACUAAUUCUUGGAAAAAGAUUUGGUGUCUUAGAGAAGUAAUGAAGAAUAAAGAAAUGCCAAUGAAAGGAAAAAAGAAAGUAUAUGAAAUGUGCAUUAUGCCAUGCUUACUAUAUGGAUGCCAGACAUGGGCGGUAACAGAAUUACAAGAAACUAAAUUAAAAGUUUGCCAAAAUGGAAUGGAGAGGAGUAUUGUAGGUAUAAAUAGAAUUGAUAAAGUAAAAUUACAAGACAAAUUAAACAAUUAAAAGCGAAAACAAAAUUCAAAAAUGCACACACUACAUACAGACAGCUUAAAUGGCGUUGGACGGGACAUAUGUUACGAGAGAGUAAAGAAAAAUGGACUAAGUUAAUAACAGAAUGGUACCCAAGAGAUGGCAAAAGAAAUAGAGGCAGACAAAGAAGAAGAUGGGAAGAUGACUUCAAGAAAGUGGCUGGUCCGAUAUGGACCCGUUUAGCGAGAGACAGGAAUACGUGGACAUCUUUAGAGGAGGCCUUUGUCGAUAGACAAGCUGUCCUACACAAACAUCCAGUUGCCGAUAGUUCAAAUAAUAGAAUAGAUUAAAUCAAUUAAGUGCUUAGUAAGUAGGCAUGUAUAUACUAAUAAUUGUAAGGAAAAGCAGCAAUAAAGGCUAUUUUAUUUUA